GCCUACGGGACGCAGCAGGGAAUUUUCGUCAAUGGGCGCAAGCCUGAACGAGCAAUGCCGCGUGAACGAGGAAGGUCUUCGGAUCGUAAAGUUCUGUUGAAGGGGAAAAAGAGCGGAGAGAGGAAAUGGUCUCCGAUUGAUAUUACCCUUCGAGGAAGUCACGGCUAACUACGUGCCAGCAGCCGCGGUAAUACGUAGGUGGCGAGCGUUAUCCGGAAUGAUUGGGCGUAAAGGGUGCGUAGGCGGCCUGCUAAGUCUGGAGUGAAAGGUACCGGCUCAACCGGUACAGGCUCUGGAAACUGGCG
rnacentral:rRNA from 1 species